ACCGCGGUAGCUCAGUCGGUAGUGGCGUCGGCAGUACAGAUGGCGAAGGUCGCAGGUUCAAAUCCUGCCUGCGGUG